rnacentral:rRNA from 1 species
AACGAACGCUGGCGGCGUGCUUAACACAUGCAAGUCGAACGGACAGGCCCUGCUGUUGUCGGGUGAUCGAGUGGCAACCGGGUGGGUCACACGUUAGUAACCUGACUAUGACUUUGGGAUAACUUCAGAAACCUGGGACUACUACCGGAUAGGAGCUCCUGCUGCAUGGUGGGGGUUGGAGACUUUCGGCGGAUGGGGAUGGACUCGCGGCUUAUCAGCUUGUGGGUGGGGUGGUGGCUUACCAAGGCUUUGACGGGUAGCCGGCCUGAGAGGGUGACCGGCCACAUUGGGACUGAGAGACGGCCCAGACUCCUACGGGAGGCAGCAGUGGGGAAUAGUGCACAAUGGGCGGAAGCCUGAUGCAGCAACGCGGCGUGCGGGAUGACGGCCUUCGGGUUUUAGACUGCUUUCGCCUGUGACGAAGCGUGAGUGACGGUAAUGGGUAAAGAAGCACCGGCUAACUACGUG